rnacentral:lncRNA from 1 species
GGAUAGUAGGCCUGAUCAGCGGUACCUGGAUCUGCACAUGAAAAACAUGCGCAGAAGGGGUAUGAGUACACCACAGCGGUACUCAGUAAGUGCCAAGCCUAACCUCGGUUGGGUAGUGACGAGGAAGGUCAGUGCCCUACUGAGGUUAAACAAAUAUAAAGGUCUAACAGUAUAGGACAGAACAAUAUAAAUAAGUACGGCUGUAAAAUAAGACAUGAUAUACAGAACAGCAACAAUUAUACAGAACACGGUAAACAUGGAAAGGAAAUUCAGCUCAGUACCAAUAGUAACAAUCGGGGAUCUCCCAAGAUACCGUCAUGUAGUCCCAUCUUUACAUAUCCAGUGAAUCUCCCGGGAUACCGUCCCGUAGUCCAUCAUAUAUAUGUUCGAAGGAUCUCCCGGGAUCCCGUCCCGUAGUCCAACUCAUAGUGCACGGGGAUCUACUGGAAUCCCGUGCCGUAGUCCCAAAUGUAAAUACCCAGUACUGGGAGAAUCUACCGGGUGCAUUCCCGUAGUUCCUUAUAACUGUGCAAGGGGAUCUACCGGGAAUCUAACCCGUAGUCCCAAAGUAAAUGUGCAGGGAGAUAUACCAGGAAUCUAACCCGUAGUCCCAAAGUAAACAGACAAGGGGGAGCUACCGGAAUCCCACAUCCGUUGUCCCAAAAUAAAUAUACAGCAACAACAAGAAGAUAAACAGAAAUAGCAAAAUUCAAGGCAAUAAGUGAUUCUAGCCUAGCAUGUUGCACAGAAUUCAAGUAACGCGGUUAAAUCAAAUGAAGCAAUUAAGUCACUUAGACAUGCUUUCCUAAGCUAACAACAGGCUUAAUAGUGCAAGUAAUAGAAACAGGAAAGGAAACAUACUAGUAAGUACUUAAAGAAAACCAGAUUUCCAACAAUUAGCACAAGUACGCACUUGUCACCUCACGUACAAGGCAUUUCAAUUACCAAAUAUACCAAUCCUAAGGGGAAGGUCUCCCACAUAAGGUUAGAUAAGCCACUUACCUCGAACCGGCUUAAAAUCAACCCAAUACCACGUCUUUGCCACUAGUACUUAACUCCAAAUGGCCCAAAUCUAUUCAAUUCAAUUGCAUAAUGUAAAUAACACUUUAAAUAACUGAUUCUACAAUUAAAUUCUAAGCUAAUACUCGAAAUUAUGUAAAAUGACCAAAACGCCCCUCGGCCCACGUCUCGGAAUCGGGUGAAAUUUACAUUUUUAGAAACCUUGUACUCUCACGAGUCUAUACAUAAUAAGAACACUGAAAUCGGAGUCCAAAUGACCCCUCAAAUCCUCAAUUAAAAGCCUAUUAAACUCAAGCCCUCAUUACCCAUUUUUCCUAGAUUUCUCACCACUAAUUAGGUCUUUAAUCAUAUAAAAACGAGUUAUGAAGUCAAGGAUGUUACCUCCAAGCGAUUCCCCUUUGUUUUCCUCAAAAAUCUCUCUCAAAAGUUUCAAACCCAGAUGAAAAUGGUGAAAGAAUCUCUUAAAUUCGCGAAGGCAACUAUUUAUAUGUUCUGCCCAGCGAUUUCCGCAUUUGCGGCCCUGGGACCGCAUCUGCGGACACAACGUCGCAUCUGCGACUUUCAUUAAAAUGCCAGCUUCCGCAUCUGCGGACCUCUAACUGCAGGAGCGGUUCCGCUUCUGGGAGCCCUUCACCGCAUCUGCGGUUCCUGAAGAAUUGACACAAAGCCGCUUCUGCGGCGCCGCAUCUGCGGUCCCCAAACCGCAGAUGCAAAAAUACCAGAAGACCAGCUGUUGCAGCAACUUCAACUCUAAAAUUUCCUCCGUUAACCAUCCGAAUUCAUCCCGAAGAUAUGAGACCGAGUGUUGGUCAGUCAAAACUUCCAUGUCCAGAAGAUGAAGGUGGCAGAAAUGAGAAUGUUAAGAUGGAUGUACGAGCAUAUCAGGAUAGAUAAAAUUAGGAAUGAAGUUAUUCGGGACAAGANUGUGUGUGGCCCCUGUGUGAGCACCUAAUUUUUGAUCAUAUUUUUAUUUUCACCAUUUUUAAUAGGUAAAUAUUUUUUAAGUUUAAUCUAAAUAUUUUAGCUUUUGUUUCAUCUAUUAUAGGUUUUACUUAAGAAAAUAAAAAAAAAAUUAAAUCACAUUUCUUGUAUAAGUUUUAUCUUCAUUUACAAAGAAUAUAUAUAUGUAUAUGUAUAGUUUAGUGCAAUUUUUAAGUUAGAGACUUUCAAUAAAUAAAUAUUAAGUAUGUACUAAUAUUUUUAGGAGUAGAUUUUAUUUUGUUUACUUAUUUUCAAGAAAAGAAAAUUAACAAAAAGAGAGCCAAUAAUAAAUGGCCACAUGGAAGAUUACCUCAUAUCUCCUCUAACUAAUUUACCCAUAGAAAAGACCUCCCCAAGUCGGCACCUGCAGAUAACCAACCACACACAAAAAAAGGGGGAACCCGUGAAAACAGGGGAAAAAGAACAGAGGCAGGGAAAAACCCUUCUGAUGCGUUUCAUAGCAAAAGCUCAGAAGCAAAAAUCAUAAAAAACCCAUGAAAACUUCAAUCUUCCCCGUAAAAAUCAGCCACUGUCUGUAUCACUUAAGACCCAAUUAAAACAAACAUAAAAAAACUCCUCCAUAUCCACCAACAAUCCAGCCAACAACGCAACCAACAAAGCAGCAAAAAGCUAGCUACAAUUAGUCUCAAAACCAUCCAAAAGCAUCUGAAAAUACUUUCAAAAUGACCCCAAAACCAGCCUCAAAACCACCCAAAACUCCAAAUGCAGCAGUAAGAGAGUGAGACCCAAAGAGCUGAAACCUCUACUAUAAAAUCAUUGGAAAUGUUCAGUCCGUCAGGGUCGUCGAGGUCGCCGUUCGAGUGCUCCUGUCGCGGGUCUCGUUCUAGUUCUUUAUCUGGGUUGUAAUCGCUGGGAUUCAUGUAUUUUGAUGACGUUGGGAGCUUUAUGUUUUGAUAUAUUGAAGAAGUUUAUUUGCUGAGUAUAAAGGUUCACUCUCACCUUUCCUAUUCGAAUUUCUUAAUUGCCUUUUUUUUCUAAAUUCUUGUUUGUUCACGAAUCUUUUCCAUGUGUUUUGUUUGGGUUCUGUUAAUGCAUCUUUGAUGAGGAAUUUUUGAAUGCUUCAUUGUGAAUGAACUUGGACAACAAUAAGUUUUGGGUUUAGUUAGAAUCAAAAGUUUUGGUUUUCAACUGUCCCUUUUCAGUAUAUUAACUAUUUUUUUUGAACAUAAAAGCACGGUAAUAUAAUUAUCGUGCUUUUAUGUUAAAAAAAUAGUUAAUAUACUGAAAAGGGAUUUUGGCCCGGUAAGGAAAUAGUUGGGGUUUGAAAUUAGUUAUAAACUUAUUUUUAUCAUUUAGUUCCUCAUGUGAAUAAUCAAUGCGCUAGUAUUCAAAUAUCCUGUUCUUAAGUUAAUUAUCAUUUAUUUGAAGCAUAAAUUUUGGUUGUUAAACAAAGUGAUUAAAAAUAAUUGUUGGUAAACAUCUGUUGAAUUC